rnacentral:rRNA from 1 species
CAGUAGCCGCGGUAAUACGUAGGUGUCAAGCGUUGUCCGGAAUUAUUGGGCGUAAAGGGCUCGCAGGCGGUUUCUUAAGUCUGAUGUGAAAGCCCCCGGCUCAACCGGGGAGGGUCAUUGGAAACUGGGAAACUUGAGUGCAGAAGAGGAGAGUGGAAUUCCACGUGUAGCGGUGAAAUGCGUGGAGAUGUGGAGGAACACCAGUGGCGAAGGCGACUCUCUGGUCUGUAACUGACGCUGAGGAGCGAAAGCGUGGGGAGCGAACAGGAUUAGAUACCCCAGUAGUCCCUGUCUCUUAUAA